UUGGAGGGCAAGUCUGGUGCCAGCAGCCGCGGUAAUUCCAGCUCCAAUAGCGUAUAUUAAAGUUGUUGCAGUUAAAAAGCUCGUAGUUGAAUUUCGAGACUGGUUUAUUGGUCGUGCUUUUGUACGUACUGGUAUUAUUGGUUUCUCCUUUCUGACGAAUCAUAAUGCCAUUAAUUUGGUGUUUUGGGGAAUCAGGACUGUUACUUUGAAAAAAUUAGAGUGUUUAAAGCAGGCUCACGCUUGAAUACAUUAGCAUGGAAUAACGGAAUAGGACGUUUGAUUCUAUUUUGUUGGUUUCUGGGAUCGACGUAAUGAUUAAUAGGGAUAGUUGGGGGCAUUAGUAUUCAAUUGUCAGAGGUGAAAUUCUUGGAUUUAUUGAAGACUAACUACUGCGAAAGCAUUUGCCAAGGAUGUUUUCAUUAAUCAAGAACGAAAGUUAGGGGAUCGAAGACGAUCAGAUACCGUCGUAGUCUUAACCAUAAACUAUGCCGACUAGGGAUCGGAUGAUGUUAAUUUUAAUGACUCAUUCGGCGCCUUACGGGAAAC
rnacentral:rRNA from 1 species